GAGUUUGAUCGUGGCUCAGAUUGAACGCUGGCGGCAUGCCUUACACAUGCAAGUCGAACGGCAGCAUGAUCCAGCUUGCUAGAUUGAUGGCGAGUGGCGAACGGGUGAGUAAUACAUCGGAACGUGCCCUGUAGUGGGGAUAACUAGUCGAAAGAUUAGCUAAUACCGCAUACGACCUGAGGGUGAAAGUGGGGGACCGCAAGGCCUCAUGCUAUAGGAGCGGCCGAUGUCUGAUUAGCUAGUUGGUGGGGUAAAGGCCCACCAAGGCGACGAUCAGUAGCUGGUCUGAGAGGACGAUCAGCCACACUGGGACUGAGACACGGCCCAGACUCCUACGGGAGGCAGCAGUGGGGAAUUUUGGACAAUGGGCGAAAGCCUGAUCCAGCAAUGCCGCGUGUGUGAAGAAGGCCUCGG
rnacentral:rRNA from 1 species